AAAUUUUAUUUCUAGUGAUUGGAAUGAUGGGAAUUUAAACCCCUUUCAGAGUAACAAUUGGAGGGCAAGUCUGGUGCCAGCAGCCGCGGUAAUUCCAGCUCCAAUAGCGUAUAUUAAAGUUGUUGCAGUUAAAAAGCUUGUAGUUGGAUGUCUGCUGGAAGCAAUCAGUCCGCCCUAUUUGUAGGGUGUGCACUUGAUGAAUUCUGGCAUUUUUGUCCCAAUGAUAUAACGGGGAAAGCUAUUGGGCGAAAGUUCAAUAGCGUCUUCCGAUUAUUGGGAUACUGUUACUUUGA
rnacentral:rRNA from 1 species